rnacentral:rRNA from 1 species
UGCCAGCAGCCGCGGUAAUACGGAGGGGGUUAGCGUUGUUCGGAAUUACUGGGCGUAAAGCGCACGUAGGCGGAUUAGUAAGUUAGGGGUGAAAUCCCGGGGCUCAACCCCGGAACUGCCUCUAAUACUGCUAGUCUUGAGUUCGAGAGAGGUGAGUGGAAUACCGAGUGUAGAGGUGAAAUUCGUAGAUAUUCGGUGGAAUACCGGUGGCGAAGGCGGCCCCCUGGCUUGAUACUGACGCUCAGGUGCGAAAGCGUGGGGAGCAAACAGGAUUAGAUA